GGUAGUUGUAGGGUUUUGGUGGGGAAGGAAACAGAAGCGUGAGUGGUAGAUGGAGAAAUGUGAGAGGGAGAAGGAAGGGUGAUUGUGGAUAGAGUGGAAGCCAUUCUAGUAGAACCUAAAGAGAAUUUUGAGCGGAAAAUACAGCGAAAGAAGAAACAAGUGAAAAUAGGAUAAGGGGAUUGAAUAUUGUGAUGUGUGUUUGGUCCGAACUAAAAUGUUUUUCAUUGGUGGAUGAAAAAUACUUUUUAGUAUUUGUUUGAUGAAUAAAAAAAAAAUUUUAAAAAAUACAUUUUAGUGUUUAGUUAAAACAUACAAAUAUAUUUUAGAAUUUUUUUUAAAAAAUAAAUUUAAAAAAUUAAAUUCUUUUUUGGAAAAGGGGAUGGUAGGUGUGUGGAUGAUGGGGUGUCAAAAUAGACAGUAGGGAUGAGUAAGAAAAAGUUUUAAAUAUUUUUUGUUAAAAAAUUAAAAAAAUUGGCAGGAGAGGGGGAAAGGGGAUAGUAGGAGUUGGGGUCGGGGCAGGGGAGUGAGGGGAAAAGGGAAGAAAAAAAUUAAAAUUUUUUAAAAGAAUAUAAUUUUUUUUUUAGGUUAGGGGGUGGGGGUGGAGUGGGAGGAAGGGAUAAGAGAGGGGAGAGAGAGCGUAGGAGUGUGGGGUAAGAGAAAAAUUUAAAUCUUUUAAUAAAAUGUAAAUAUUGUUUUUGAAUAGGGGUGAGUGGAGAUAGGGGAUGGACUAAGAAAUUUUUUUGAAAUACUUUUUAAAAUAAUUGAAUUUUGGGGUGGGUGAGGGAUGGGGUGGGGGUAGGGGUGGGGGUUGGGGUGAUAGGGUAUUGGGGGAGGGAUAGAUAAUUUUAAAAAUUGUAUCAACAUUUUAACUUUAAAGUAAGGUUGAAAGACAGUUUUGAAAAAUGUUUUCUUUACUUUUUGAAGCAAAGUUAUUUUUCUUAGAUUUAAGAAAAAUAAGUUGAUUUGAAACAUUUUUCAAAAUAUACAAGCCAACCAAACAUAAAAAAAAAAAUUGAAAAACAUUUUCUGUUUUCUUCAUACCAAACACACCCAAGGUCACAUAUAGUUUUCUUUUUUCCCUUUUGUUCUUUUGGUUUAGUUUAUUAUUGAAUAGAUUUAUAAGAGAAAAAAAAAUUGUAAUUCAAUCUAUAUCUUAAGACCGGUAUCACUCAAACUUAGGAUUUUGGAUUAGAUUAUUUAAGACUUACCAAGGUUGAUGUUAAAAUGUUGAUUAAAUAGAAAUGCAAAAUAAUAUAUUCUUACUAAAAUUGAGGACAAAACAAUGAAAGUAAAGAAACUCCUAUAUGUACUUUAAAAUUUGAUUAUAGAGGUCUAAUUGGUUCUUAAGUUCAAUCCUGUUUCAUUAGCUUGACUUUCUGUAUGGGGUUUAAUUCAAGUUUAGCAAAUAGACCAACCUGAUUGCGGCAGUAGGCUUAUUUUGGUGGUUGGUGUUACUUCGGCUCAGUCUCGAUUGCUUCAUAAUUGGGUAGCCUGAAGGACCUUUCCCCGAAGGAAAAUCACUUUACAGCCAUGGCCCUCUCAUAACGACCUGAUGCAGAUCAAUAAUUAGUCUGGAAUCCAAACUUGCCACUAAACCUGUUAAACGGGCCGAGUUGAUCCGGCUCAUUUAAUAAAAUCCGCUCGAUCAGCUCAUGUACCGUAGGGUAUCAAGUCUUGGACCAUUUUAAUUUUGUAGUUGAGUCCGAUUAACCCGGCUCGGAUCAAGCCUAGUUCAGAUCCGCAGGUUAACCGGCCCGGAACAUUUUUUUUUUAAAAUUGGGUUGUUGGAUUGGGCCCAAAUACUAGUUGUUGGCCCAACGGCUAUAUAGUCGUUUUUGGGUUCAAACGGCAAGUUUGGACCUUUUAGAAAAAAAAAACUUUUAAAAUUAUUUUUUAACCUCCAAAAAAUUCCUAUAAAUACCCUACACUUUCAAAUCAUUUUCCACACAAUUUUUCAUUUUGUCAAUUCUCAUUCUCUCUCAAUUCUCAAAUAUUCUAUAUAUUUUCUAAAGUGCUCACUUUAAAUUUUUAAUUUUGCGAUUACAAAGUACGAGUGAAAGUUUUAAAGUUGCAACCUUCGGAUAUUUCAAAAUUUGGUAUUGUCGUUCCAUCUCUUACGUUUAAUUUUUAUUUAAUGUAUUAAUUGUUGCAUAUUUAAUUUUAUUAUAUUUGUGUAUUUUAGAGGUAGUGGUAUGGACUGCGUACACUCUAUCCUCCCCAGACUUCACUUUGUGAGAAUAUACUGGGUUUGUUGUUGUUGUAUAUUUGUGUAUUUUGAAUUUUUUUAGUUUAAUUUAUAUUAUAGAUAAAUUAAGAAACCUCGCUAUUAAAGGUGUUAAAAUUUUUGGUCCCAGAAGCGGUUGUGGUAGUAAAAAGAGAAUUACUAGUGGUAGAGGUUAGGGUUGUGCAAAAAUGGAACCGAUCGAUAAAUCGAACCAAUAAAAAUGUUAUUGGGUUAUUGGUAUUAGGUUAUCGGAUUAAUGAUUUUUUAUUGGUUUUACAAAAAAAAUUAUCGGGUUAACCGAUAACCCAAUAAGGAUACACUAAAUUAUUAGUUUAUGCUUAUCUAUCUAUCUAUCUAUCUAUCUAUCUUCCAACAAUUAGGAUUCAAUUUUUUUCCUAACAUUCAGUUCAAGUUUGAAGAUUCUUGUAAACUAGAAUGCAUUGCGUAGGUUUUGGCGGUAAUUAAGAUUUCAUUUUUUUAUAUUAGUUGUUACUAUUUCUAUUUUAUAAGUAUUUUCUUAUUGGUUAAACUGAAAACCGAACCGUUAAGGACCGAAAACCGAUAAAUCAAAAUCGAUAAGAAAAUAUCUUAUUGGUUAAUUAUUGAUUUUACAUAUUUAAAAAGCGAAAAUCGAUAAACUGAACCAAUGACAUGUAAAAACGAACUGAACCGACCGAUGCACACCCCUAGUAGAGGUACUUCAAGUAAUAGAUAUAACCGUGUGUCUUCGCUUCCGGUACCAUUUGGUACACCUUUUGAGGAAGAAGCAGGUGUAGGUGCCCCGGUACCGUUUGGUACACCUUUUGAGGAAGAAAUAGGUGUAGGUGCUCACGAUAUGGAUUAUGUAAAAGCUCAGAAAAGUUACAGUAUAGAAGAAAAAAACAAAGUAGAUGCGGUUAAUUUAGACGAAGAUGAUGAAAAUAUUGGUGAGACACCCGCAGUAGAAAAUGCUAACGUUAGAUCUGAAUCGGUUAAUCUCCCUCCCCGUCCUCCCUGUGCCCAAGAGCUCGUAAAACAACUAGUAUUGCAUGGUAAAUUUUUGAACGUAUAUCAGAUACUGAGAUGCAAUGCAAUAUUUGUCAACAAAUAUAUAAGCAUAAAAGCGGAGGCAAGCAAAUGGAUACGGGUACGUUAAUGAGACAUAUAGGUGAUGUUCACGAAAGAGAGUUAAAUAUUGCACGAGGUGUUGGGAUGUUGGUGGGCCAACGCAAACUAGAAUGGACCCAGCAACCGAUCAGGUAAUGAAGAAGUAUAAUAAAUUGAGGGACCGGGAAGAAAUAACUAAAAUGAUAGUUGUGGGUUGUUUGUCAUUUAGUUUUUCUUCUUCUGAUGUCUUUAUUCAUUAUAUUCAAGCAAUUUAUAAUNNNNNNNNNNNNNNNNNNNNNNNNNNNNNNNNNNNNNNNNNNNNNNNNNNNNNNNNNNNNNNNNNNNNNNNNNNNNNNNNNNNNNNNNNNNNNNNNNNNNNNNNNNNNNNNNNNNNNNNNNNNNNNNNNNNNNNNNNNNNNNNNNNNNNNNNNNNNNNNNNNNNNNNNNNNNNNNNNNNNNNNNNNNNNNNNNNNNNNNNNNNNNNNNNNNNNNNNNNNNNNNNNNNNNNNNNNNNNNNNNNNNNNNNNNNNNNNNNNNNNNNNNNNNNNNNNNNNNNNNNNNNNNNNNNNNNNNNNNNNNNNNNNNNNNNNNNNNNNNNNNNNNNNNNNNNNNNNNNNNNNNNNNNNNNNNNNNNNNNNNNNNNNNNNNNNNNNNNNNNNNNNNNNNNNNNNNNNNNNNNNNNNNNNNNNNNNNNNNNNNNNNNNNNNNNNNNNNNNNNNNNNNNNNNNNNNNNNNNNNNNNNNNNNNNNNNNNNNNNNNNNNNNNNNNNNNNNNNNNNNNNNNNNNNNNNNNNNNNNNNNNNNNNNNNNNNNNNNNNNNNNNNNNNNNNNNNNNNNNNNNNNNNNNNNNNNNNNNNNNNNNNNNNNNNNNNNNNNNNNNNNNNNNNNNNNNNNNNNNNNNNNNNNNNNNNNNNNNNNNNNNNNNNNNNNNNNNNNNNNNNNNNNNAGAAUUAGAGAAUUUAAAGUUAAAUGUCAAGAAAAUGGACUUGCACCAAUAUUGAUGCUCGAGGAAAUUGAUAUUAGAUGAAAUUCUACGUAUGAUUUUUUAAAAACUUUUUAUAAAUAUAGAGUUCCUAUUACACUAGCUUUUAACCAAUAUUGUGGUUCAUUUGCUGAUUCUGCUGAUCGCAUGCUACAUGAUUCUUAUUGGGUUGUAAUUAAUGAUCUUGUUAAUUUUUUUUAGAAAAAAUUUAUGUAGCUACGAUUGAAUUUUUCGGUGCUUAUUAUCCUAUUGUUUGUAAUAUUUUGACAUAUAUAACCGAUAUUUCUGAUUUGCUCAAAGAGUAUAAAAAUAAAGAAGUUUAUAAAGAAACUGUUGAUGGCAUGUUUACUAAAUUUUAAAAAUAUUUUUUCUGAUUCCCCCUAUUUACUUGGUUGGUGUUAUGCUAAAUCCGUGCAUGAAAUAUAAUACUAUGUGCCACUUUAGUACUAUUAUUUAUGCUAACUUAGAAAUAAAUACUAACAAUGAUUCUGAACAAGUACAACCUGAUUUGUGGACGGCUAUGGGUGAUGGGGAUGAAUACAUAGAAAAAUUAUAUAUAAUUACUAUGUUGAUUUAAUUGAUUUAGCCGUACCUAUAAAUAUCACUCCAACUGUUGCUCCUCAUCCUCCCGAGGAGCCAUCAUCUUCUAAAAGGCCGACACAUAGUGAUUUUCCUGAUUCCUUUUAUGAUUUACCUUGUUGGAACAGUGUUGAUGAGAUAGCUUACACAUCAAGUUAUCGGGAAGAGCUUAAAUAUUAUCUUCGGUCCCCGUCAGAGGAUCGCAGACAACGGAUCAACACGUUGGAUUGGUGGAGGAGUAAUGAAACACAAUAUCCUGUUCUUUCAAGAUUAGCUAGAAAUAUAUUGAAUGUUCCAAUGUCAACAGUUGCAUUAGAGAGCGCCUUUAGUCAGGGACGACAGCAACUAGGAGACAACCGACACUCAUUGGGAAGCAAUGCAAUGAAUGUUUUAGUUUGCCUCAAAGAUUGGAUUAGAGCGAAAAGAAGAAACCAAGGAAUGGAACCGGAGCCGAACGACGAGCAGAAACUUGAAGAAAUUAUGUCUUCACGGGAGAACUCAGCAGAAUCAAGUCNNNNNNNNNNNNNNNNNNNNNNNNNNNNNNNNNNNNNNNNNNNNNNNNNNNNNNNNNNNNNNNNNNNNNNNNNNNNNNNNNNNNNNNNNNNNNNNNNNNNNNNNNNNNNNNNNNNNNNNNNNNNNNNNNNNNNNNNNNNNNNNNNNNNNNNNNNNNNNNNNNNNNNNNNNNNNNNNNNNNNNNNNNNNNNNNNNNNNNNNNNNNNNNNNNNNNNNNNNNNNNNNNNNNNNNNNNNNNNNNNNNNNNNNNNNNNNNNNNNNNNNNNNNNNNNNNNNNNNNNNNNNNNNNNNNNNNNNNNUAUAUAUAUAUAUUGUAAUGUAUAUAUAUUGUAGUAUAUUUUAUUUAAAGUAGUACAUAUACAUUGAAUGGUGCGUAUAUAUGUAUAAUUGUGUAUAUGUGUAUAUAUUUUUUAAAUACUAAUGUAGUAUAUAUUAUAUAUAUAGUGUAUAUAUAUUGUUUAACGUAUUUAAAAUGUAUAUAAAUGGGUAUAUAUAAUGUAUAUUGAAAUUUUUUAUUUUUUUUAAUUUUUGAUUGGGUUUGACCGGAUUUUUAACGAGUUUGACUGACUUUAGGCGGGUUUGACCGAGUUGGGUUAAGUGGGCCGGGUUAAGACUAUUUUUAAAAAUUUUACUGUUGAACCCGGCCCGAUCCUCAAUCCAGAUAAAUUUAAUGGGCCGGUUCUGGGUUAAUCCUGCCUGGCUUGACCCACUUAACACCCUUGCCACCAAUCAACCUCGAGCCCAGUGUCAGAGUUUAAGUGUCUCGGUAUUAACACAGUCAUUUGACACAGACGAUGAAACUACACUAUUAGAUAGCAUUUUCAGUACUAGUGUGCAAUCAAUUUUACACUGAGGAAUGGAUUGACUUUUGGCCAAUAAAAUAAUCAUCUUCGAACAUAUAAAUAAAGUUAGAAAUGAAAAAAGGUAGCAGCCUUUUCAGAACUAUGUAAUCAUUUUACACCAAGGGAUGGAUUGACUUUUGGCCUAUAAAAGUCAUCUUCGAAAAUAUAAAUAAAAUUAGAAAUGAAAAAAGGGGGCAUUCCGAGAAUUGAACUCGGGACCUCUCGCAGACCAAAUGCCCUGCUUUGGAAGCCGUGCCCUUAAUUACAUAAUGACUAAAUUAUUUAGUUCCUACAUGAAGAAAACUGAAAUGUUUUUCUUUUCAAACUUGUAAGCUACAGUACCUUGAAAGUACCUGUACCUUUUGGUGUCGUUUGAUUGGUGGAAUAAGAACUUGAAGUAUCUCAUGAUUAUUUUAUCCCACUCGACAUGUUGAGUGACACUUGUGGAGUUAAACAAUGCGUGAGUUCAUGGACCAAAGGUAAUUGACUUUGUUCUGAGUCAUUUUAAAGCUGUUUUAUCCUCCUAUUAUAUGUACUGUGUCAAACAUAAGCAAUUUGAACAUAAGAGAGGAUGAUGAGGAAUUGAGGAUAACGUGUAUUGAUUGAUAUAUACUUUCAAAGGGAGAAUACAUGUCUGUAAGAUUUAUGCCAUUUUCAGGCCAAGUAUUUCGAAUUCUCUAAAGCUAAAAUCAUACAACACAGCUGGAAUCGACGUGUAAAAAUCAUCCAGUGGGGAAUGCUUCUUGAACAAAGACAUUUACCGUCUUCUACGCCUCCUACCAUACAAGUAUGCAAAAGCAGCAAUUGAUGCAGCCAAUAUUACUCCAGCUGUUGCAUGCCAAGCAUGUAAAGGUUUCUCCGUAACAAUAGUGGAACCCGAACCACUGCUGACAACAACAGCCUCCGUUGGCUCUGCUUGACGACUCAAUGCCAAUGCAAAUUCUAAUCCCUGUGUCUCAAGAUCAGCCAAGUCCUCGAUUGCUGGUUUGAGCCUUGUGAUCUUUGCAAUAGCUUUGUACUCCUCUUUCGUUCCACCCUCUAGAAAAGACCCAACGACAUGACCUUUGUUCACCCAGUAUGCACCAAAGCUAUUGCCCAAGAAAUCCCCAAAAUGGACUACAUCACCAGUAUUGUCACCAUAAAACUGCCAAGAGAGUGUGAAGACUCUGGAGUAGAAGAACGGCAAGUAGUCAAACUCAGUUGUUUUCUCUGGUUCCAUGAUUGCAGCUACUGCAUGUCUUGCUGCCUUCCUUGCAGAAUCAACAUGUUCAAGUCUCCGUGUUUCACCGAAAGUUUUGACAGGAAAAGUUGCAACAUCCCCAACAGCAUAGACUGAACUGUUGCUUGACUGCAUUCGUCCAUUGACUUUUAUCCCUCCUUUCUCAAGAGUGAGUUGCCCUUCAAAGAGGCUAGUAUUUGGUCGAAUUCCAAUGCCUACUAUGACCAUGUCAGCAGAUAGCUUGGUUCCAUCUCUCAGAUUCACUGCAGUGAUCUGCAUAACAGUCGCCGCAUUCAACCAUCAGUUCCAGUAUAACUUCAGUAACAUAUAAAAUUGGGAAAUUCAACAGUUGAUUAAUGUUUGUUCCAGCUUAACAAAGUGACUUCUCAAAUGGAGUUUGGAAAUCUUCACUCUUCAACAAAAAUUGACCUUUUCUUAUUCAAACAAAUAAGGGUUUAAAAAAGCUGUUUUUAAGCACUCACAAACUGAGUUUGCACUAACAAAGUAACUAGUCAAACUGAGGUUGGAAAUCUUGUACAUGAAAAAGUAGUUCAAACAAAACUUCUGCGAAAAGCUUUCGAGCAAACGCCACCCAAGUGAAGCAAGCAACAGGCUUUACCUUCUGAUUGGAGUCAAAAUCAAAUGAUGCCAAGACUGUUCCUUUGACAAACUGAACUCCUUUUGACCGGUAAAAUUCUUCAUAGUAACUUGCAAUUUUAGGAGUAAAUAAACGGGCCACUAACAACAAAAGAAAAGGAAAGAAAAUUAAAUGCAUUAUUUAAAUAUUAGAAAGAACAACAGUUAGUCUUCUGAUGAACAUAAGAUAGAUUAGCAAUGGUUGCACAUUUAUGGUUUGUCACUGUAACUAACUCUCGGAUUUUGGCUUUUAACAAUUACAAGAAACAAAUUGGUUUUUAUCAUACAUGAACUCUCAAUCUCUGAUUUCAUGUUUUAAGGAAAUGUGUGGGUGGAAGUCCGGUUAAUUACUGAGAUCAUUGUUUUCCUCUACUAGUAGCAAGGUUCGGAGAGUAAUGAGUGUGCCAGAUUUCUGAUAGUUGUUAGUAUUUUCUUGAUGAAAUCCAGCUAAUAAAGGUAUACUAUGCAUUAUUCUUAAGAGAGGGAAAAAUCAGCUUUUACCUCUGAUAUAAUUUACAAACUACCUAAAGAAACUCGAGUAAGAAACAGAAAAGAAAGUUCUCCAUCUUCACAAAAGAGCAGAAAAUAAUUACUACAGUGUGGUUCUGGAAAGACCAUGGUGACAUUUAUGUUGUUGAUCACCAAAGAAGCAGCACAUUCCAUUCCGAUGUAGCCACCACCAAUUACAACAGCAUUGCCACCACUGCUGGAUUGCAUCACAUUAACCAGCCUGUUUGCAUCAGCCAAAUCUCGUAAAUAACAUACACUUUCAGCAUCUGAGCCACUCACUCCAAACUCUUCAAGCUUCAAAGCCUAACAGUACACGCCAACCAAAAGUCAGAGCCUUCAUAAAUUUUUACUUUCAUUGUCCACUAGGGACUUGGUCUUUGAGGUUGAACUUUGUCCAUACCAAAGAAACCCUUUGGCAUGAACCUUCAGAGCUCACUUGUUAAUCAAAUUGUGUUUCGAACUUUCUUGCUGAACUGAAUGAACUCUACCCAUCUGAUGUCCAUGAAGCCUAACAUCUAUCCUAACAAGCUUGACACCUAAUUUCUACAGCAGAGUGGAGGCACGGGAUACAUAUAAAAUGAUUAUAUGCAAUUUCUGUGCUACUGAUUCUUGACAUUCUUUUCACGAUCCCCACGGAACGGCUUAUAACCAAAAUAAUAUUUUCACAGGUAUAAAUUUACUCUAAAAAUCACAUGCACAAGAUUAUGCAGAAGCUAAGGUAUUGUGAGACAGCAGAAUUUUCGUUUUUUUUUUUCCUUAGUUGGUACAGCAGAAUUGUAUUUCAAGUUUGGUCAGUAUCCACCGACCCCUCCGGGAAAUCACUUAAAGCAAGGCUCUGGUGUUUAGUAAUAGAAAGUAUACAGGAUAUAACCCUUGUGGGUUCUGCUUUACGUUUUUUAGCAAACAACAAUAACAACAACAUACCCCAGUGUAAUCCCACAAGUGCGGUCUGGGGAGGGUAGAAUAUACGCACACCUCACCCUUACCUCGUAAAGUUAAAGAGGCAUAGAGAGCAAGGGUAAGAUCUGCAAACACUCUACCCUCCCCAGACCCCACUUGUGGAUAUAUGGUAUGGUGGAGGUGGUGUUAGCUAAGAACCUUAAAGUUAGAACCCCUAAGGGUUCUUAGCACUGAACCCAUUAUAUUUUUAAAUACAUGGGAUCAUAUCUACGAUUUGUUGCAUUUUAAUGGAUACCCCUAAAUUUCUGUUCCGUGUAGAAAGUUGCACUCGCCCCUGCUUAUUCACUCCGUCAGAACUCAGAAGAGGACAUUACUCUAAUGUCUUAAUGCAUAAAACAUGCAACAAAAUAUGGUGCUACAGAAGAAGAGACCAAAGAUAAAUUAGAUACCCGAGCACCAGUUGCCACUAUGAGAAACUUGUAGGUUAUGGUUUCACCGGUUGCAGUCAACAAUGUCUUCCGUCUCACAUCAGCUGAUUUUACACGAGUUCCAAGGACCAGUUCAAUGCCUAAAGGCAAUAGAACAAUCAAUGAUUAUCAAUAUCCUAGGAAAGAAAUUAAAAACCUUAUUCUUUUCCACGAAAAAAUAACUAGAACUAAAGGAAAUAGCUUAACAUAAUUACAUAUUGUAAUCACUGAUGCCCGUUACCAGCAAUUUUUGUUUUCAUUGACAUCCCCAGCUAGCCAUUCCAUAAAAAGAGAUCAGUUUCAGAACCUUAUGAUAUCCAUGGUAACUGAAGCUUCAUUUUACGUGAUUUGAAAAUCAGUAUUACUGCAGCUAAUUACAGCCCAGGAAGAGUAAGAAUGUCACUCAUCUUUUGCCCUGAUUCUAAUUUUUCAAAAUGUCGGCUAAACAUGAAACGUAAGCAGAUAUUAAAAAUCAGGAAAUAGUUCAUGCUCUUCCAACAUAAAACAAGGUUUCUGCUACUCUAAGCAUAGAUGAACUUCGGAAUGGAAAGUCUAAUCUUUUCCUUUUCUUUUAUGAAAUAGCUAUCCUCUCAAUAGAUAGUCCUAAAAAGCUAAGACAAACAUCAAACUUGGUUCUGAAAACAUCCAUAUGUGAUGGAUUCCAAUCCCUUAACCAAACACCAACAACAAAAUUAUGCUGCUACAUUAACUACAAUAGAAUAACACAGUGUAUUCUAUAGCUCUACCUCUACGCAAGUUAUUCAAUAACGGAUAACCUUUAUAAGUUCAAGGCAGUUAGUAGCUGCCCUGCUGCAGUGAUAUGUAAUCACUUUGGAAAAUUUUAAAUAUGAGAACCAUAAAUUAAAAUUCAUUAAGUAUAAUAAUGCCUGCUAAAAUAUUAUAAAGGGUUAAGGAAGCAAAAGAUCCUAAGAAAUUACCAUGUUCCUUGUACCACUUCGAUGUCAACCUUUCCUCAUUUGUACCAACACAACAAUGAAAAGCAGGCAGACGUGCAGGAUCUGCAUAAAAUACAAUCUCAAUAAGUUAAAACAAAUGAAAAUAGGAGACAAGAAGAAACAGCAGAAACAACUCAUCUGGAUAACUCUUGUUAAGCGACUGUAAAGAUAGAACUAUUCCUUUUAACUAGUGUAAUGAGGACAAGAUGAUUAAUUUUACAUGCUUCCAAUAAAACAGUAUGUCCAUGAUAAGGCACAGGAAGAGAUGAAUCAACAAAAACAUAAAACUGCUAAACGCAAAUUGGACACAAUUAGCUUCAGUAUAUUGGAGAGAUGGUUCAAUGCUAUCAACUCUAGUAAGUCGGCAAAUAUGAACCACGCUAUUUACUGUAGUAAAUGUGCAUAUCAUGUUUCCUUCAGGAAAUCCUUCUGAUCUUACUAUUCUCCCCACCACAAACUCUUGAAUAUACAAAUUUCCUGUUCUAGCAAUUCUAACACAACAAUAACUAGAGCCCGGGAGGAUUCCACCAUUGAUGCUUGUAGAUGUUGCCCCAAAUUACAGUGCACAACAAAAAUUUCUUUGAAUCUAAAGACAGCAAGAUCAUCCAUUUGGAAGAAAUUUAAGAGAAAAAUCUGAACAGCGAUGAAGUGACUGAGAGAUACCUUCUGGAAGUAAAUAACCCUUGCUUAACGCAGGUCGUUCAUAAGGGGCAACCUGAAAAGAAUGGCAGAUUGUUUAGAAGAUGGGGAAAGAAAAAGCUCCAACAAGAGAGAGCCAUAAUGUGUUACUAUGUUGAAUGAUUGCCUCCGUAAGGAAGUAUCAUCGGUCUUAUUUCAUUAAUGACACUAAUGUUAACUCGGGGAAAGUAAAAGAUCAAGAUAGAUGAAAGGAGCAGAUGACUCAAAGCUAUAAUCUUCAUUAUUCUAAUGAUAUUAAAUUGGAUGGGGAUAACAAAACAUGGAGUUGGAAAGAUAAAAUAGCUAAGUUCUGUGCAUCUUUGCCUCCUCGAAAAUGAAUGAAGGAAGGGAGGAAGAGUAUAAAGGAAUAACCAUUCGGGCAGAGCUUCAAGUAGACAGUAUGCACUUGAAACUCAAUAGCAGAUCUACAGAUUGUUAGCAUUUCUAUCAUAAGUCAUUGUUAUUGGAAGCAGAACAAGUUUUUGGGAUACAUCAAAGCAAAUCAAGGAUCACUAGGAGCAAAACAGUUGUUAAUCACACCUCUUCAUAAACCAACAGCCUUAUAAAUAAUGAAGUUCUAACAAAAGAUACUACUUUGGAAGUAAUAUUCAAGUGACAUCAGUUGUUCCAGACCAAAGAACUAGCUGUUGUAAACAUAUUAUUUCCAUCAAUAUUAGGGUGAAGCUACAAAAAUUCAAAACUUUUCAAUUUGAUUCAAUUAUCCAAAUACUCAUCCUGCUGCCAAGAAAAUCAAAAUUUACACUACUAGGCCCAAAAAGUCAACACAAAACCCAUAAUUCAGCUCAGAUAAGAAGAAAACCCACUCAAAUUAGAUUACAUGCAAAAUUUCCCAAGAUAGAACAUUCACAACAUUGUAAGAAAUUAUAAAAACCAUCUAAAACACAGAAUUCAGCUCAGAUAAGAAGAAAAAAUUUCACAAGAUUGAACAUUUACAACAUUUUUUGUAAGAAAUAAGCAGCAAUACCAAAUCAAGAAAGAACAAGAAGAAGACGAAGACAUCAAAAACCCAUAAAUUAAAGCUAAAACUGAGCUUAGAGAACCAAAAAAUAGCCUAUUUGACUAGUCAAAAUCAAGAAAAUAAUACAACAACAGUGAAAAAAAGUGAGGAAAAAAGUACUAAUAUUUCCAGGUUCCCAAGAUUGGACAUCUACAAUAUUUUAAGGGAACAAGUAGCACCAAUACCCAAAUAAAGUAACAACAAAAUGAGAACAAAAACAUCAAAACCCCACAAAUUAAAGCUGAAAGUGAGCUCAGAGAAGCAAAAAAACAACCCAUUUUAAUAGUCAAAAAUCAAGAUCUUAAUAGAAUAUUAGUAAAGAAAGUAAGAAAAAAAAAAAGUAAUAAUAUAUUACAGGUUCUUCAGAAAUAAUGCAGAGUUCACCAUGAGAGACACCACGUUUAACAAAUUCAUGAGCAGCAUGACCAGCAGCAACACCUCCUCCCAAUAUUACAUACACAAAGGCCCUACCCAUUUUCCUCACAAAAUUCUAUGUACCAAAAACGCUAAUUUAAUAUCUUACCCCUUUUAAUUAAAAAUAAAAUAAAUUGAUUACGGAUCAUUCAGUUAACGUGGGGCUGUAGCAAUUUCUCGCGCUUCUUUUACCAUUUUGCCCUUUUCGAUAAUUCCUUAAAAUCUUUCCAUAUAAAAGCCCCUAAGGUUUUCUUUUUGUUUCCCUUUUAGCCCUGGAUUUUGAUGAUCAACUCCCCCGUCAAAAAAAAAGUGACAUACUUUUUUUAUUUUUUUUUAGUUUGUUUCCGAAAAAAAAUAAAAAUUUAUAAUAUUUUAAUUUAAAAUUUUCACAUGAAUAUUUAUGAUCAUAAAAUUAAUAGGUAUGUUGGUAUAUUUAUAUAAUUUUAAUUUAAAAUCAUAAAAUUCAAAACUCUUCUUUAUUUUUUUAAAUUCAUUGUCAAGUUGAAAUAGAACAUUAUUUUAAAACAGAGAAAGUAUUAUAUAGUAUGUCUAUUUAGUUUAUGACCUCACAGGACAUACUAGUAAGAUAGGACUUGUCUUGCUCUUACAAGUUUUUGUAGGACUAUUGUCGUAGUUUCUUAUUUUUUUAUUUAUGUUAAUAUUUUUCUAUGUUCGAUUAUAAUAUUAUUUGUUGUUAUUAUUUUUGAUGUUUUGUACUGUUAUUGGGUCUUUUUUUAGUCUGUUUUCAUCUUGAGUUAGAGGUCUUUCAGCAACAACCUAUCUAUCUUACUCUGGGAUCAAGAUAUAAGAUCUAUAUACAUAUUAUUUUUUUCAAAUCUCAUUUUAUGGGACUAAAUUGUUGUUGUUAACUUCAUAGUUUGAGAAUAGUACAAUUCCCAAGCCAAUGCUCCCUUCUUUUCAUUUAAUUUGUUUGAUUUUGAUAUGAUAUAGAGUUAAGAAUAAUAAAAAGAUUUUUAAAGCUUGUAGUCUUAAAUUAAAAAUGCAUAUAAUAUAUUAAAAUCUUAUUUAAUUUCAUAAUUUUAAAUAUAUUAUGUUAAAAAUUGAAAUUCAAGAAUUAUCAUAAAAAAGAUAUAGUAUAUAUUUUUUAGAAAAAUUAAUAGACUAAAAUGGAAAGUAAGUUAAACAACUUGAAACUUAAACAUUACUCCCUCAGUUUCAUAAUAAGUGAAUUGUUAGAUUUUGACACACAGAUUAAAGAAAAAGCAUUAAAGACAUAAAUUUAACACAACUUUUCAUUUUUACCCCAAAAAAAGAAAAAAUUGACCUUGUAUUAAAGAAAAAAGCAUUAAAGACAUAAAUUUAACACAACUUUUUAUUUNNNNNNNNNNNNNNNNNNNNNNNNNNNNNNNNNNNNNNNNNNNNNNNNNNNNNNNNNNNNNNNNNNNNNNNNNNNNNNNNNNNNNNNNNNNNNNNNNNNNNNNNNNNNNNNNNNNNNNNNNNNNNNNNNNNNNNNNNNNNNNNNNNNNNNNNNUGUAAAAUUAGAUUUAAGUGUUGUAAGAAAAGAUUAAUUUUUAAAAAUAAAUUGAAAAAAAAAAAAGUCUUUUGAAACGAAUGUAGUGCUGAUAAAUUGAUGAAUCAAAAGAAAAAUUAUUUCUUUAUUUGUUUCUUGUUGUUGUUUAAUUAGGUAGGCGUAGACGGGUAGUUUUUAGGGAAUUCCUUUUGUAGGGUCGGUGGAUAGGGGGGCCCAGUAGAGGAAAAGCAGUACUAUUGAUACACGUGGAGUAAGAUAUGAUCUUUUGCAUAGGGAUGUGUGAUGGACGGUUGAUGAUCAAGUUGACUGACGUGGUGGCUCCUGGAAUGAUCAUAUUAUUUUGAGGGGAAAAUAAAAGAUAGGCUAAAUCCAUCGACGAUCCUUAAAUUUGGCAUCAUCUUUCACUUAGACACCUCAAGUAGACGUUGUUUACUUUUAACACCUCAAGUAAAUAUAAAGUGUGUCAUUUUGACACUUUUUGCUGAAUCAACAAUGAACGUGUGAUACACGCAUUGAAAGCGCAUUUGAGGGACGUUUUUAUAAUUUUUUUGCUCUCACUCUUUCAAUCCAUUAAAUUUCCACCAUUUUUUACCUUUUCUUAACACAUUCUUAUGCUAAUUUUUAUUUGAUUGAUCAAAUUAACAGAGCAAAAAAAAAAAAAAAAGGGUUAAAUCAAGAAUCUUACAUUUUUAAGAAAGAAGAAAUCAAAAAAUAAGAAUGGUUAAAUCAAGAAAUAAAAAUUCUUAAUUUUUUCGUGUGUUGACUUUAACCAAUUCUUGUUUCUUAAAAUGAAGAUGAUUGAGAUGAUGUUAAUGGUGUUAUUAUUUGCUUGAAAAAAAUGUACUUGAAAAGAUUAAUGGUGUUAUUAUUUGCUUUACAAAAAUGUUAUUAAUAGUGUACAAAAAUGGAGAGGCAGCAGGGGUGUUUUGAAGAAGAUGAAUUCUACGUGGAGUAGAGAGGUUGUGGUGUUUGGAGAAGAUGAGUUUGGUGCCUGCCAUGAAUCAUCUCAAAGAGGAGGAAAUAAAUUUUGUGUGUGUUUAGUGAAGGUUCAUCGAUGGCUUCCUUGUUGAAAUUUCAAAAAUUUAGAAUUUUAGAGGGUGAGGGUGAGUUAGAGAAACAAUGUUGGGGUGGAGUAUGGGGGUGGGAUGGGAGGCACUGCUGCAUUUAGAAGAUGAUUUUGGAGGGUGGGAGUAGGGGGUAAGGGGGGCGACAUUGUUGUAGGAUAAUUUGGAGAAGAUAAUGUUGGGGUAGGGGGAAGGAAGGGGGAGGGUGAUUAUUGAUUAUUUUAAAAAAAUUAAAUUAAUAAUUUAAAAAUUAUUUUUUUAGAAAAAUGACACAUCUUGGCAUAUUAUUUAUCACUUUCCACAUCAUCAGGCGCGUGUAAUACACGCACACAGUAUAAAUUUGCUGAUUCAGCAAAAAAUAUCAAAAUGACACUUUAUUGUCACGCCUCAAAUCCUAUUGGGGCGGACUGACACUCAUAACCGAGGAGGCCCGGGAGAACUAGCUCAUAACCUUAUACUUCCCAUGCAUACCUCUAUGACAACCCGAAAUUCAGACAACAUCAUGUCGCAUAUAAAAGGAAAUAAUCACCUGUAUAAGCUCGAGCACACAUAUAUAUGUAUAUANNNNNNNNNNNNNNNNNNNNNNNNNNNNNNNNNNNNNNNNNNNNNNNNNNNNNNNNNNNNNNNNNNNNNNNNNNNNNNNNNNNNNNNNNNNNNNNNNNNNNNNNNNNNNNNNNNNNNNNNNNNNNNNNNNNNNNNNNNNNNNNNNNNNNNNNNNNNNNNNNNNNNNNNNNNNNNNNNNNNNNNNNNNNNNNNNNNNNNNNNNNNNNNNNNNNNNNNNNNNNNNNNNNNNNNNNNNNNNNNNNNNNNNNNNNNNNNNNNNNNNNNNNNNNNNNNNNNNNNNNNNNNNNNNNNNNNNNNNNNNNNNNNNNUAGGCUUGUGCCCCUGGGAUACCACCCAUAAACACAUAAAUAGGGAUCGACCCAUGAUAGGCUUAUGCCCCUGGGAUACCACCCGAUAAGAGAGAACUUCCAUCACUUAGUUCAAUUAAUCUUUGAGAUUGUUAUUUCGGUCGCCACCGCAUUUUUGAUACUUUGAAACAAUGAUACAUCAAUAAGAGACAUAUAAAUAGACCAUCAAUGCAAUAACAAUGAAGUAAGAACUCAUUGGCACAUCAAUGAAGUGUUUUGGAGUCAUCAAUGCCAUAACAAUGAAGUAGGAACUUAUUUGUAUAUCAAUGAAACGUUUUGGAGUCAUUAAUAGCACAUGGAUCUUGUUUGAGUAACCGGAUACCUUCUGACAUUCAUUAGUGCAAUAAACAUGUAAGAUUUGGAAAACAAGUAAGUAUUGGAAUGUCUUGACAUCUUGUAGGGUGGAAACAAGUUCAUUGGUAACGUAGGACAUCAUACAAAACCAUUAUGGAUCACAUGUUAUUGAAUAACUUUGGAAACUUUCUUAAUAGAACAAUUGUUCACUUUCAUGCCAAAGAUAUGGUAUAGAGUAUGCUUUACAUACCUGACUGUCAACCUUCAAUACUAGUCCCAAAUGGACUUCUCGUCUUUUCGGAUUACUUAUCUACAAUGAACAUAUAUAGCAAUCUAGUAUUAGCGACCAAACGUCACAAUUCAAUUAUUUGAAUUCACCAAACUAGUGGUUAAGUAGUAAGCCUUAAUUACACCAUAAAGGGUGUCACUUUAACCCUCUUAUACUCCAAUUACAUUCACAUGCCAUGCAUAUUCAUACAACAUCCUCCAAUAUCAAGUUUGGAUUCAUUUAUCCUUCCAACCAAUCCAUUAAACCACAUUGAGCCAUAGACAUAAAUAAUCAUUAAUUCAAUAGUAUAUCACCAUAUCCACCUUCCAUAACUCAAUUACCAUAUCCGCCUUCCACAAUUCAAUACAACCAAAUCAUGCAAAAUAGUCCAUAACCCUAUUUUCAUCACUUUUCAAUAACAACCAAUACAUAUAAUCCUUUAUCACACAUAUACAUAUGGAAAAGAACAAAGGCAAACAAUAUUCAUACCUUAGAAUUCACCUCUUGAUUAUGCAAUCCUAUUUGCACAAAUAAUAGGUGUCGUUCGAAGCUCUCGAGAUGACAAACGCAGUUAUCGGAUUACUUUGAAAUAUCUACGAUUGAAUCAAAAGUAAUUUAAAGGUCAAAUUUGGCCAGAGUUUGUUCUUUCUCAAUGAUUGAUGAUGAAAAUGAGUUUUUGAACUCAUAUACAUGUAUAUAUACACAUAUUCCCGUCCAUAAUAUAAUAGGAAAUGACCAAAAUGCCUUUAAAAUUUAAAUAAUGUCAAAUCGAUCUUUUGGUGGACUGUUUUGGUAAGCUAAAGUAGAUCGACCAUAACUCUUUGCUAUAAUCAUCAUCUCAAUACCACAUCAUCAAUACCACAUCAUCACCCCAAAUUCCUUCACAAUUUAACAUAAUCCAACCAUGCACAAGAAUAAUCCAACAUCAUUUCCAAUCAUCUUUCAACAACAAUCAAAUAACAUACUUCUUAUGCUCACAUGCAUAUAUAUAUAUAUAUACAUAUCCAUAUAAAUAACACCAACAUAAUUUACAUCCUUACCAAAAAAAAUGGCCCUUUUGAUUUCGAAGUCCUGUUGGCACAAAUAAGGGGUGCUUCUCGAAGCCCUUGAGACGGUGAACACAACUACGGAAUCAAUUUGGAUUUUCUACGGUUGAAUCACAAGAUAAUUGGAGUUGAACUUAGGCUAGGGUUUCUUAUUCUUCAAUGAUUUGGAUGAUAAAUGGUGGAUAUAAGGCUAAGUAUAUGUAUAUAAUGACCAAUUUUCGUCCAUGAGGUGAUGGAAAAUGACCAUAUUGCCCUUAAAAAUUUAAGUAAAUCCGAAUCUGUCCAUGGUGGACUGUUUUGAUAGGCUAAAGUAAAUCGGCCAUAACUCUUUGCUCCGAUAUCGGAUUUGGGUGAAAUUGGUAUCGUUAGAAAGAUAAUUCAAAGGUCUUUCAUUUAAUAUAAAUUAAUCCACCCAGUUCGUCCUGUACAAGUAGUUAUGAUCGUUUGAAGUUGACCCUAAAAAUCUGUUUUGAGAGGCUGAAGUAAAACGAGUAUAACUCCUUACUCAGAUGUUGGAUUUGGAUGAAACCAAUUUCAUUGGAAAGAAGACUCAAAGAUCUUUCUUUUGAUAUAUGGUAGCUCAACCAGUUCAUUAUAUUGAGGGAGUUAUGAUCGUUCAAAGUUGACCCAAAAAACUGGCAGGCCUCAGUAGUUUCCUGCACAUUUUACUGUUCACAUCCCGGCCACCGUUUUAAAGUUUCGAACGAGCUCGCUUAUAUCCGAAACUUAUCCGUUUUUGGAAAUCUUUAUAUCGUUGGAAAGCUUAUUCAAUAACCUUCGUAUGGAACCAUCGACGGGAAAAUUCCGAUAUAAAUAAAGUCGAUUCCUAUACACCUAUAAUCAAACUAUACACUUGAAACCAUCUCAAAAUAAUCAAUACUCAUACUUAAACUCAUAUAUACCUAACUUAGGAUCAAUACAUAUACUCCAACACAUAUAACAAUGACUAAUGCACGUAAUUAAGUACGGGGUGUUACAUCCUUCCCCCCUUAAGGACAUUCGUCCUCGAAUGUGAAUGUAGUUAUUUAGCCGAAACAAGUUCAAGUCCACCAUUAACAUUCACAUCAUCACAUAAAUACUAUGCAUAUAUAAACAAAAACUUACUUGUUAAUGUUCUAACUCCGUUUCUUGAACUUCCUCUUCAUCUUUGAACAAAUGAGGGUACUUAGAUUUCAUUGCUUCCUCAGCUUCCCAUGUAAUCUCUUCCCUUUGUUGAUUUCUCCAAAGUACUUUCACCGAUGCUACUUCUUUAUUUCUCAUCUUCUUAACUUGUCGAUCUAAUAUAGCAAUAGGCAUCUCCUCAUAGGUAAGAUCUGCUGUUACUUGCACAUCUUCAGUAGAAGUAAUAAGGGACGGAUCUCCGAUGCACUUUCGAAGCAUCGAUACAUGAAAUACUGGAUGCACUGAUGAUAGUUCCUGGGGUAGAUCUAAUUCAUAAGCAACUUGCCCACAUCUUCGAAUAAUUUUAUACGGGCCUAUAUAUCGUGGACUCAACUUUCCUUUCUUGCCAAAUCUCAUCACCCCUUUCAUUGGCGAUACCUUCAAAAAUACCCAAUCGCCUAACGAAAAUUCUAGCCCUCUUCUUCUACUAUCCGCAUAUGACUUGUGUCGACUUUGGGCUGUUUUCAACCGUUGCUGAAUCACCUUGACUUUUUCUAUGGCUUGAUACACAAGAUCCGGUCCGAACAUAAGAGUUUCACCCGCUUCGAACCAUCCUAUUGGUGAUCUACACUUUCUCCCAUAUAAAGCUUCAUAUGGUGCCAUUUUGAUACUUGAAUGAUAGCUAUUAUUGUAGGCAAACUCAAUAAGAGGUAAAUGAUCAUCCCAGCUGCCUUUAAAAUCUAUAACACAUGCUCGUAGCAUAUCUUCAAGUGUUUGAAUGGUGCGCUCUGCUUGUCCAUCCGUCUGAGGGUGAAAAGCUGUACUCAGAUUCACUUGUGUUCCCAAACCCCGUUGGAAAGACUUCCAAAAGUUUGCAGUAAAUUGAGUUCCCCGAUCCGAUAUAAUAGAAGUUGGCACUCCAUGUAAUCGGACUAUUUCUUUAACAUACAGCUUCGAAUAUUCUUCAACUGUGUAAGUGGUCUUAACGGGUAAGAAAUGUGCGGAUUUAGUAAGCCUAUCCACAAUCACCCAUAUAGAAUCAAAUUUUCGAGCUGUACGAGGCAAACCUGUAACAAAAUCCAUGUUGAUCAUGUCCCACUUCCAAAUUGGAAGAUCUAUGCAUUGCAUAUAGCCUCCGGGUUUUUGGUGCUCAACUUUAACUCUUUGACAAUUUGGACAUUCAGCUACAAAUUCUGCAAUGCUCUUCUUCAUGUCAUUCCACCAAUACAUAUCUUUCAAAUCUUGAUACAUUUUGGUUGAUCCUGGAUGAAUGGAAUACCUUGAAAAAUGUGCCUCUGUCAUAAUCUUCUUUCUUAGCCCGUCUAUAUCCGGCACACACAAUCGGUUUUGGCACUGAAGUACUCCUUCUCGCGUAAGCUCAAAUGCCUUGGUCGCACCACUCUGAACGUUCUCCUUAAGAUGUAAUAAAAUAGGAUCUGCAUAUUGCUUCUCUUUCACUUCAGCUACUAAUGAAGAUUCCGCAGCAUUAUGUACGAUAAGCUCUUUAUUCGGAGUUUCAAGAAGGCGAACUCCCAAACUAGCUAACUGGUGAAGAUCUUUAACCAUCCCUUGACUUUCUAUAGGCGCCAUCAUAGCCUUACGACUUAACGCAUCAGCUACCACAUUUGCUUUCCCUGGAUGGUACAAGAUAUCAACAUCGUAGUCCUUUAAUAGUUCAAGCCAUCUACGCUGCCUUAAAUUUAGAUCCUUCUGAUUAAAAAUAUAUUGCAAGCUCUUAUGGUCAGUAUAUAUAUCAACAUGAACCCCAUAUAAGUAGUGGCGCCAUAUCUUUAAAGCAAAAAUAACUGCUGCCAACUCAAGAUCGUGUGUAGGAUAAUUUUUCUCAUGUGGCCGCAAUUGUCUAGAAGCAUAUGCUAUUACCUUACCAUGCUGCAUCAAUACACAUCCUAAACCAAUUCUGGAAGCAUCACAAUACACUGUAUACCCUUCGGUGCCUUCUGGUAGUACCAACACGGGUGUAGAAAUCAACUUGUUCUUCAAAUCUUGAAAACUCUUCUCACAAGCAUCAUUCCAUUGGAAUUUGGAUGCUUUAUGGGUUAGCUUGGUUAAGGGUGCUGAAAUGGAAGAAAAGUCUUUGACAAACCUUCUAUAAUAACCGGCCAACCCAAGAAAACUACGAAUCUCCGUAGGCGUUGUGGGCCUUGGCCAGUUCUUCACAGCUUCUAUCUUUUGAGCAUCAACCUUUAUCCCUUCACUAGAUACAAUAUGACCCAAAAAUGCCACCGACUUUAACCAAAACUCACAUUUAGAGAACUUUGCAUAAAGCUUACAAUCACGAAGAGUCUGCAAUGCCUGUCGUAAGUGAUUGGCAUGGUCCUCUUCUGAUCUAGAAUAAACUAGAAUAUCAUCUAUAAAAACUAUCACAAAUACAUCCAGGAAUGGCUUAAAAACCCUAUUCAUCAAAUCCAUAAAAGCUGCGGGUGCAUUUGUUAGCCCAAAUGACAUAACUAGAAACUCAUAAUGACCAUACCUUGUUCGGAAAGCUGUUUUGGGUAUAUCUUUUUCUUUGACCCUCACUUGGUGGUAACCUGACCUCAAAUCAAUCUUAGAAAAGCACUUGGCGCCCUGUAACUGAUCAAAUAAAUCAUCAAUUCUUGGGAGAGGAUAUUUAUUCUUAAUAGUCACCUUAUUCAAUUGCCGAUAAUCAAUACACAUCCUCAGGGAGCCAUCCUUUUUGCGUACAAAUAACACUGGUGCUCCCCAAGGGGAAAUACUAGGCCUAAUGAACCCCUUUUCUAGCAAAUCUUUCAAUUGCUCUUUCAAUUCUCGUAAUUCUGCUGGGGCCAUUCUAUACGGAGGAAUGGAGAUUGGUUGGGUGCCUGGUAUUACAUCAAUACCAAACUCUACUUCUCGUUCAGGAGGCAAACCUGGAAGAUCUUCAGGAAAUACAUCAGAAAAUUCAUUUACCACCGGAACAGCGUGAAGAGUUGGUGGCUCCGCUUCUGUAUCCCUUACUCUAACUAAAUGAUAUAUAUAUCCCUUGGAAAUCAUUCUUCUCGCCUUAAAAUAAGAAAUAAAUCUACCUCUUGGCACGCUAAUUUCACCUUUCCAUUCAAGGACUGAUUCAUUUGGAAAAUGGAAAUAUACCUUUUUCGUGCAGCAAUCAAUUGUGGCAUAACAAGACGCCAACCAGUCCAUACCCAUUAUAACAUCAAAAUCUACCAUUUCUAACUCCACAAGAUCAGCCAUCGUAUCACGACUACAAACAGUUACUAUGCAGUUUUGAUAAACCCUUCUAGCUAUAAUAGAUUCCCUAACCGGUGUGGACACUUUAAAUGGCUUAACUAAUAGUUUGGGUAUUCUUUCAAACUUUCGAGCAACCAAUGGAGUAACAUAAGAUAAUGUAGAAUCGGGAUCAAUUAAGGCAUAUACAUCAAAUGAAAAGAUAGACAACGUACCUGUAACCACAUCUGGGAAAGCCUCUAAAUUCUGUCGAUCCGCUAGGGCAUACGUACGAUUUUAAGCCCUGUUAGAACUCGUGGCUCCUCUAUCACCUCUAACACGACCCAUUGGUUGCGCACCCCUCCCUGAAUAAGGCAUCGAUGAUGAUGAUGCAACAAAUGACCCUGUAGGUCGUGCCAUACCCCCUAUGCCUCUUCGUGGACAUUCUUUCAUCAUAUGCCCCGACAUACUGUACCAAAAGCAAACAUUGGUCCCCAGCCCGCAUGCGCCCAAAUGAUACCUUCCACAUUUAUUUCAUGGCUCUCGAGGAGGUCUUGAUUGACUCAUAUUACCUUUCCUUUGGUACCCCACUGUCCACGAACUCUGAUUCUCAAUUCGGUGCCCAAAUUAAUUUCCUCUGGACCCUUGGAACUGUGGUGGGGCACUAGCUGCAGAAAAAAAAGAUAAUGGCCUAGGUGUUCUAGCAGAAAACUGUGGUCUGAACCCUCUUUGGGAUGCCAUAAACUGCCCUGUAAAUCUGGCCCUCUUGGAAUAUCCUCUCUCUAAUUCCUGUGUUCUUAUCCUCUGCAUUUGAUCUUCUAUUUUCCGUGUAAAAGCUUGGAUCCUCGCUAUGUCUAUAUCUUUGUUCAAAGCGGCAAUAGUACAAUCUCUAACCAGAUAUGGAUCCAUCCUAUCCACAUAUUGAUGAACUCUAUCAUCCAUAGCAGCUACAACAUUAGGAGCAUUUCUCGACAAAGAAUUAAAUCGGACUGUACUCCCUCACGCUCAUAUUCCCCUAACAAAGAUUUAAAAACCGAUCUGCACGGGCCUGACGAAUCUCAAAUGAAAGAUAAUGAUCAAGAAAUGCCUCUUUGAACUCUUUUCAAGUAGCUGGGGGUGCAUCAAUACCCCUAGAUUGUUUCCAGUCGUCUUACCAAUAUAUAGCCUCCCCUUUAAAUCUAUACACUACUAACUCCACUGUCUCUCUACCCGUUACAUGUAUAACAUCUAAGGCCCUUUGAAUUUGAUCAAUAAAGUCCUGUGGGUCCUCGUUAAGAUCUGAUCCAAUAAAAGUGGAAGGAUCCAUCUUAAGAAAAUCCUGUGUUCGAAGGCUAGCCGCCCUAUCUGUACUACUAGGACCCGUGGUAGGAAUGACUUGCCCUUGAGCUUGCCCAGCAACUAUACGAGUCAAAAGUUGCACUGCAUUUCUAAGAUCUUGAUCAACAGCAUUAAUAGGUGGCUCUGGGGAUAUAGUUCUCCUCCUCCUUAUUUCUUCCAGAGUGGAAGAAGUUUUUGAUGCAUGCUCACCUGGAGCCUCACUUUGAUUAGUUGGUAUAGUGGGCGACUUACUAGUCCACUCUCCGGUAGCCACAUCUACUUGCUUACUGGUAUUCUUGCUUCUGAUAACCUGCAUCAUUACUAUAAUAAGAGAAACAAACGAAUUCAGUGGUCAACUAUGACUUCAUACAUAAUAUAGGCUCUAUCGCACGAUCUAAGACAUGAAGAAAAGAAAUAAUUCCUAAAUCUCCAUAGCCUCCUGUUUAUAGAUGCGGUGCAUGACACACCCCUAUUGGGGCGGACUGGCACCCGUAACUGAGGAGGCCCGGGAGAACCAACUCAUAACCUUAUACUUCCCAUGCAUACCUCUAUGACAACUCGAAAUUCGAAUAACAUCAUGUCGCAUAUAAAAGGAAAUAAUCACCUGUAUAAGCUCGAGCACACAUAUAUAUGUAUAUACAAUACUUGGCCGUUGGAGCCAUCACGCCUAUUAACAAAAUACCACCUUGACUGUACAUUAGGUCUACAAAGCCUCUAGAUAAUACACAGAGUUUAACUAAGGUCGGGACACACCCCGCCAUAUAACUAACUUCUAUACAAUACCAAAAGUGACUGGAUAUGACACGAAAAGCCCCGAAGUAAACUGGAGCUCACCAAAAGCAGCUGGAUAUCCUGGAUCCUACUUGUGUGGUGUAUGAGAUGAGGUACCUGUGCCUGCAGCAUGAAAUGCAGGUCCCCCAUGGGGGACGUCAGUACGAAAUAUGUACUGAGUAUAUAAAGCUGUGGAUAAUCACAUAUGAUAUAGGAGCUCAAUAGAAAUCAGAAACAAGUGAAUAAAUCAAUAAUGGAAGCAACUUACAGAUGGAAAGAAGUAACAAGGCUAAAACUGUAACGACCCAAAAAUACAUCCUGGUCACCACACGGUGCUUAUGGUCCCAAAAGACCACAAGCUAACCCAUGAGCCGGUGUGAGCACUGAAUAAUAACAACAAAACAACAUGUGCGGAAUAUCCUAAUACGCCAUAAGGUUUUAAGUACUAAAAUAUUUUUGAAUCAUAAAUCUGAAAAUAAAUGUUGGAAAACAACUAUCAUAAAAUAAUGACAAACUGAAUGACGGUCUGAAGUGCAUGUCCGAAACUUUAACCAGUGAUACAGAUAUACCCUCUGUCGUACUCUAGGUAGAAAUAUAUCCCUGUCAUUAGUGAAAAAAUAUACUAAUUAAGUCCACAAUUAACUAAAUCAAAUUAUCUAAUUAUGUUUUUGGUCAAUAUAACCAAUCAUUCAUUCAAGAUUUAAAAGACACAUUUUCUCUAAUUUUCAAUGACUUUGCCCAUUUAUAAAUUAGUGAACUCGUGCUCAAAAUUCAUCACUUUCCAUAUGGAUCGCCUCGAUGUAGUUUCACAUCCUAUUAGAGUUGUCAAUAUGGGUCAGACCCAUUGGGUCGGCCUGACCCAGCCUGUACUUUGAUUGAAUUGGGCUUCAGUUUUUGCAGCCCAUUUAAAAACAUGGCUCUUUAGCCCCACUCGGAUAAGCCCAUGAGGUGUGGAUCUUGAGCAAUAUGGGUUAGACUAGCCCGUGGGAUGGCCCAUAAGCCAAAUACAUAGAUCUAUUUUGAUUGCUUAUUGUCACACCCCCUUUUUACCCAAAAAGAUUUUAUUUAAAGUUCGAAAGGAUUUUUAUUAUUAAGGUGACAAAAUGAAGAAGUUUGUUUUGAAGAGGAUUCAUUAUAUUCAAAACUCAGAGUCAGCACUUAGCAUAAUCCGGUGUGCCAAGUCAUCUUUGGAAAAUCCUUUCCAAAAUGAUUUGACUCUUUAAGACUGGUUUGCAAACAGAGAUUUCGGCUAAGGAAUUUUGUUGAUCGAGGGAAAGGUGUUAGGCACUCCUCGAUCCCGUGGUUCGACCACGGUCGCUUGGUGGAGCAUAUCGGCUAAUUUGACAUUACAAAUGUAUAAACCACAUAAAACACAUAACAAUCAAUCAAACACACGAAACAAAACAAAUCCAAAAAUAUAAUAUCCAAUCCAAUUAUUACAACCCGUAAUAAAAAAGGUACUAAAAGGUAAACCUACACUAAUCCUAAACUAUGCUCCAAUGCUUUACCCGAUGCCUCGGGCCUUCAUCACGAACAUCCUCCGGGUACAAUAUACCUCGGGGCAUUUCCUGAUGAAUAAAUACAAAUGGCUUCGGGGCAUUCCCCGGCUAAAUGAAUACAAUUGAUUCAAAUGCGGUAAAUAAAACCAUUCAACACAUAUCUAAAACAUUUCACCAAUUUCACAAUCCAUAAGUUUGCCUACCCCUGUCGUUUGUCUGAUGAUCUGCGGCCUAAAUAUGAUGUUAUCAAACUUAACAAAGUCUGCUUUCAUGCUGAAUAAGGCAAUCAUCUCUAAACCAACAUAAAUCAAUAUUCACUUUUAACAAUUUUUGAUCUUUUCCCCCAAAAUCCAACUUAAUCCUUAAUAAGAUAUUAUUUUAUCACACAAACCAUAAUCAAUCCAUAAUCAAGGAAAUCAAAUACCAAAUCAAAACAAACAACAAUUCACAUCAUCAUAGAUCAACCAAUACACCGUAUUUGAUUUAUAGCAUCGAACAUGAUAAAUAACAAAAUAAAGAAGAGAAGGAAUAGAAUUGGACCUCGAUUGAGGCUUUUAUUGUGCCAAAUUGCGUGAUAGAACGCAGAACCGGAUCCAAAAACCUCAGAUGAAAUCUCAAACGAGCCAACUCCAAACUGAAAAUCACGAGCCAACUCCAAACUGAAAAUCACAGGACAGAGAGAAAUCCGGACAGAUUUCGAUGGAUUCCUGGGCGUUUUAGGCUGUUUUUGAGGCGUUGGUUGCUGGAACUACUAUUUUCGCGACCCAGAGCUCCAGUGAGCUAGACGACGGUGGAGAUCGAAUAAAACGGGUCGAAUUUCGAGCUCCCUUGUUGACCCUAUUCUCUCUCUCCCCCCUUUGAUCCCUCACUUCUCUCUCGAUUUUACUCUUUCAUCAUCUCUCUCUUCGUUACCUUCUGUUAUCUCUCCAUCUGUCACUGUGUGGCUGUGUGUAUGGAGUUUUUUUUGUGUGGAGAAGAUGAGUAUAACAUGGUUCUCUGGUCAGUGAGAGUAUUAUUGGCUUUUUUUGUGAAUCUCCUCCCAAUUCCUGUGUGUUCUUGGUGUGUAUAUACGUCUUUUCUUUAUGGAAAAGAAAUGUAGGGGAGUCACGUGAGGGGAAAGGCAACCUAGAAGAGAGGUGGGGUAGGGGUGGGGUAGUCAGGUGAUUUAUUUUAAUUGGGUAGGUUGUUAGGAUAAGAUAAAAUUAGUUAGUGGUUAUUGUUUUGUUAUUUUGUGGAGGGAUUAUCACACGGGUGAGGGUGCGUAGUAAAGUGUGAGCUAAAAAUGAAUAAAAUUAGAUUUGGGAUGGAAAAAAUUAGGUGUCUACAGUAUGCCCCCUUUGAAUGUAAAAAUGAAGUGUUUUAGACAAAGAAGUAGACAACAAGACAAAAUUUUGUCCCGGCCAUUAUUAAAAGAAUGAAACAGGUAUCUGAAAGGAUUGGAAGGAGAUGGACUAUACCGAGUUGGAGAGUCGAGUGAGGUCCCAUCGAGGUUCUGGUUGCGAUCUGUCAUUACAUCAAAAAAUGAAAAAUUACAAGAGUUAAAAAUAUAAAUAAAAUUACAUAAGUCUUAUCUAUGCAGCUUCUUUUAAACUCUUGACUUGAGUUUCAUCACCAUAUUCUUCAAGCGGGCUUCUGACUUGCAAUUUUUCAAUUUGUUGCUUGGUUUUCAAUUGUUUCACCUUGUUGCUUGACUUUUUAUUUAUUCACCUUGUGCUUCGGGCGGGCUCCAAUGUUGUUUGAGUUAUCAAAACAAGGAAGUGCGUCUCCUUACAAAUGCCCGCUUGAAUUACCCAAACAAGGAAGUUUGUCUCCUUACAGAUGUUGCUUGAAUUACCCAAAUAAGAAAGUACGUCUCCUUAUAGAUGUUGCUUGAAUUACCAAAAUAAGGAAGUGUAUCUCCUUACAAAUGCCGAUUGAAUUAUCCAAACAAGAAAAUUCGUCUCCUUAUAAAUGCCGCUUGAAUUAUCCAAACAAAGAAAUGGGUCUCCUUACAAAUGUUGCUAGAAAUACCCAAACAGGAAAGUGCAUCUCCUUAAUAAUGCCUCUUGAAUUACCAAACAAAGAAGUGCGUCUCUUUGCCAAUGCCGCUUAAAUUACCAGAACAAGGAAGUGUGUCUCCUUACCAAUGCUGCUUGAAUUACCCAAACAAAGAAGUGCGUCUCCUUACCAGUGUUGUUAGAAAUACCCAAAUAGGAAAGUGUGUCUCCUUACCAAUGCCUCUUAAAUUACCAAAAUAAGGAAGUGCAUCUCCUUACCAAUGCUGCUUAAAUUACCAAAACAAAGAAGUGUAUCUUCUUAUCAAUGUUGCUUGAAUUACCCAAACAAGGAAGUGGUUCUUAUUAUAGAUGUUGCUUGAAUUGUCCAAACAAGGAAGUGCAUCUCCUUACAAAUACCGCUUGAAUUACCAAACAAGGAAUUGCGUCUCCUUACAAAUACCGCUUGAAUUACCAAACAAGGAAGUGCGUUUCCUUAAAAAUGUUGUUUGAAUUACCAAAACAAGGAAGCGUGUCUCCUUACAAAUGUUUCUUGAAUUAUCCAAACAAGGAAGUGUAUCCCCUUACAAAUGUCGCUUGAAUUACCAAACAAAGAAGUGCGUCUCCUUACAAAUGUUACUUGAAUUUUCCUAGGAAAUGCGUCUCCUUGACAAGGAAGUGUGUCUCCUAGAGAUAUUGAAUUAUGAGUUUUACCAUGGUUUUGAUUACCGAACUUGUGCAACAACAUUGCCUCUUGUAUUUGAAGAAGUGAGAAAUUAUGCCAUGCAUUUUGGAUCAGGCUGCCUGAUCUUUCCAUCCAAACUUUCUCCCAAUUGUUGUUGAGUUAAUGGCCUUGAAGCUGAGUUGUUUUCUUAAGUCAAUUGUAUUUAAGACCUCAUUCGGCUAGUGACACCUUGAAGGGUUUUGUCAACAAGCCUCUCUCAUUUUUCUCUCAGCUCACUAUCACCUUAUGGUGCCCGUGAGGGUCUUCACCAAUAAGACUUUCUCAUUUUUAUUUCUCUCUACUUACCAUCGCCUUAUGGUGCCCGUGAGGGUUUUUACCAAUAAGGCUCUCUCAUUUUUAUUUCUCUCCUGAUUCCUUAAGCAGAGGAAGAUAAGUAGUUCCCAAAAUGCAUUAUCAUAUCCAUUGCAUGCUUAUCUUUAAUAUUCUCAAAGAUUGAUCUGAAGGUUUUUCUUUAGUUGUAACUUGGCUUUUGGAUAGGAUUAGAAAUAAUGGAUAGCAUGAGGCUCAAACAACACUUGAAGUGGGAUAAAACUUACAACUUUUGGAAUCAACUCAAACAAUGAGGAUUAACUCAUGCCCCAGUUUCUUUUGACUGGCAAUUCUAAAUUAUUUAUUUGGUGGGAUCGAGCCCAGAGCAGGGCAGUAUACGUAUCUUACCCCCAGGAGAGGAGAAUCAGGUCAUGCGUAGUUCUGACAGCUUGUUCUUUUGAUUGAUUCUGAUUUUUGUUUCUUUAUUUUAUCUUUUCUCUUUGGGAUUUUUUUACCCUAUUUUUGACAUUCUUCUCUUUUCUUUCCUUUUGGACACAUUUUUUUCGACACUUUUUUUUUAAGUUUUACUGACUCUAUCCUGAUUCCAAAAGAGGGGCAUGAAAGAAAAAAAACUAAGGCUCAAAUGGGAUAAACAGAGGAUGACACAAUGCUUGGAUAGCCGAAUGAAAUGCCUUCGUCAUAUCAAUUCUUGAAAAUGCAAGUACAUAUCACGCAAUAUGAAAUGAAAGAUGAAGAUCAUUUGUGACACCUUUAACAACACUAACUUCAACUGAGCAUGUGUGCCAAUUCUUCUUCUAACCUUGUCAGAGCAUGUGUGCCAAUUCUUCUUCUAACCUUGUCAAACAUACAACUCCACUUUCGUUGUACAUUCCUUAUGCUGAAGGACUCAUGAAUUCGUGGAGCUGAUCUUUUUUCUAUUUCUUUUGACAUAGUAUCGCACAUUCACUACUUGACCUAAUUGAGAUAUGUCUUUCAAUUAAUGACCAAGUUAUUGUCAUGAUUCUCAAAAUAAUUGCCUUAAUUUUCAAAGAAGGCUUCAACUUGAUCAGCAAAUUCCCCAGCACUCUAUCUAUUUUCUCAGAUGCUCUCUUUUUCUAACUUUAACCCUCUGAUUCAAUGUUCAUGCUUAAACUAGAUUUCAAGAUCUGACUGAAAAUUUCACUAGCAUGCCAUAUCACUAAAGUCAACAUAAAAUGUACUAUGAAAAAACAAAUAAACAAACAACACAUUUAAAACACAAAGUAAAAUGAGACACUUUAUUUAGUUAAAAUAAAAGCUAGAAGGGUUUGAACAUAAAUGACAAAAGGACAAAACAAGAUAGAUCCCGAACUACAAACUUGGAAUAAUUGGCAACACAGAAAAUAAAACAAAAUAAGCUACCAGACCUCUUCCUAGUAGGGAAAGGGGCGACUUCUCAAUUGCUCAGCCUGACAACUUAGCCACUGGUUUGCAUAUCAACAUGACUGGAGCUUCCCUCACUGUCAAUGUUCUGCACCAUAAUUGAUCCAUCUUAAAUCAUCUUUUCAAUUUCUCUUUUCAAAUCUCGACAAUAUUCAAUACUAUGACCCUGAGUAUCAGAAUGAUACACACAUCGUGCAUUAGGAUUAAAAUUUCUUAACCGCCGAUUAGAAGUGUGCCUAAGGAGAAGAGUAAUCAUGCCCUUCUGUCUCAAUCUUUGGAACAAACUGGCAUAGGAUUCCCCAUUAGGAGUGAAAUUAUCCUUUUCUUCCUCCUCCUUGCGAACUCUGGCCUCGAAUGAAACUUGUAUUUAGAAGUUUCUUGUAAAUUUAUAGGGGUCGAGGAUGAUGUUCAGGGACAAGUGCAUGCCAUUGUGGAUAAGAAGACGUAUGGGUACACAAUUGUGUAUUGUUCAAAGGAUAUUGAGAAAGUAGAAUGAAACUCCUUGGAUUUUGAAAAGAGGAACCUUGUUGCAUAUGAGUAAGUGGAUUUGAUAUGUAAGGUCGAGAUUGAGGCUAACAGUAUUGGUGAGUUGGAACUCCUAAACUCUGCUUUGGUCCUGGCACGACAAUAGGUGCGUUUUCCAUCUUCUUUCUUUCAGUUUCCCUUGAUUGAUUGCAAUAUUGUCUUAAAUGUUUCACAGAAUCAUGUUGUCCACCAAGCUCCUCAAAUUUUGAUGUCUCAUAGCUUGGAUGAAGGUUAACACUUGACAACAUGCCCCAGUUUUUGUAUAAAACAUCUUCAUAGCCUAUAAGUCCCAAGGAACUUUUCAUAUCAUUUUCUACACUCUUAACUUUCGCAACCAUUUCCUCUGGUCUUCUAGUAUGCUAGGCUUCUUAGUAAGAAAUUUUAGCGGUCCACUUAAUUCAACGGUAGGCUCAAGAGUAUAACAAUGAUCAUCAAGAGUAUUGAACAUGGAUUCACUAGUAGACUGGGGAAGCACAAUCAUUGGAUUGAUAGCCAAAGUGGAAGCCUUAGUAGAAGGUUGAGCAAACAAAGCACAGACGAUAUGUGGUGCUGUGAAUGUGGUAGACUUAUACUGAGGAGCUAAAGAAAGAAUGGUGGAAGUAUUAAGAUGCAUUUGACGGGGAAUAGAUUCUGAGGCAUGCUGUGGUGCAUCAACAACAGAAGAAAACUGACUUUGCGAUUUUGGUAGAAGACUCAAAGUAUUUGCAGGGUCAAAAGUGGGGAACGGAGGUGGAGGUAGCCCACUGGCCCAAGCUCGGUACAUUCCAUCAUUUGUUGUCUCAGUCUCAAAUUCUCUUCCUUUAAACUCUCAAUUUCCCGAAUCUUUGUUUCAUCCAUGAUGCCACUCUCUAUAUUCUUGUUGGACACAACUAACCCUUCUUUGGAUUUGGUGUGAUAUGGAGGAUCAUCCAGGAAGCCACAAACCAACCACCUUAAACUAACUGAACAAGAGGCAACAAAUAUGUUAGAGUUCAAUAUUUUUUAUUCAAAACCUUUUUUUCUUUUAGAAAAGAUCACCGAACCCAAGAAGGGCGCUUACAUAUCUUACCCCCGAAAGAGGAGAAUCAGGUGUGCAUAGUUCGUGAAGUUUUACCAAAAUGGCCAACCAAACUCUUUUUUCUUUUUUUCUUGAAACUUUAAGAAGAAAAGAAAAUAACGAUUUGUCAAAAGAAUUGACGAAAAUAUCUUUUUUUUAAAUUUUUCAGCUUUAACGUCCCUAUACAAAGUGAAAUCUAUGAUUACCAAAGAAAAUCUUUUUGGGUUUUCAGUUUUAAAUUUCAUAUGAAAAUGAAACUUGAACCUAUUAAAGGAAAAUCUUAUUGUAGUUUUCUUUUAAAGAUGUAUAUGAAACACUUACUUUAAAUAAAGAGUGAAGAAUUUUUUUUUUUUGAAUUUUUCAAAUAAGAUCCCUGAACCAACAAUAGGUUGCCUACGUAUCUCACUCCCGAGAGAGGAGAAUCAGGGGUGCGUAGUUCGUCCAGAUUGGACAAAUAAGGAUUAACUAGCAAAUUGAACCCUGAUUUAAGAGACACUACCAAAGACAAAAGAUAAAAGCCGUUAAUAAAAUAUUUUUUGGGGUUUUUCAAUUAGACACUUCACAUAAAACUGACACCAACAACUAUGAAAAAAAUCUUUUUAAAAUUUUCGAAUUAUGAAUGCAUGGUAAGGAAAUAAAAGGAGUCCUUCGGGAUAGCCUAGUUGGUUUGGAGGGCUGUUACCCACCCGAGUGACCAGGUAUUGAUUCCCCCCUCAAUGUCUUCUGGGUUUGAGCCUAUUGCACAGGGUUGCCUAGUGCGGUUUACAUCCCCAUGUGGUUUGCAGGCUAUUGCAUCGGGGGAGUUUACCCAGUGCGCACACAGUGCUCACCCGAAGGGCAGAGGGUGUGGCAGAGGGUGUAGCGACUGCAAAUUUUCCUGGAAAGUUUUCAAAAAAAAAAAAAAAAAUCUUUUGGAUGUUUUUUUUUAGAAAAUGAGUGCGAAAGGUAAAAAAUCUUUUGAAUUUUUGGAUUGUGAAAAAAAAAUCAAAAGCCAUAAAGGAUUUUAAAAAUUUACGAAAAACUCCUUUUUUUUACUCACCUUUUUUUUUCUCCUCUUUUUCAACACUUUGUUGUCUACACACUUUACUUCAAACACAUGUUUUCCCCAAAUCGGUCCGUCAAAUGACCGCAUUGCCCUAAGAGAUGUAACAUUUAGCACGUAGGGAUGCUUUAGAGGUGAGUCUCCUACAAAGGACCAUGUAGGUCCUGCUAGGUCUUAAUAUGAUGUAGAUAGUCAUGUACUAAAGGCUGACCUAUGCUGGGUUUACUAACAAGGCUGUUCAGGGGCGCGUAUCGUCGAUAAUGGCUGCGAGAGCUUUCCACCCACUCUAUAACACCGAUGGCUCCCCACCUAAAAUAAGAGUGACUCAACUAGAGGUCGUGCACAACACGUGUACUACAGACUUGUUGCAGAAAGAAUAACUCUGGUUAUACACAUGAUGUCAGAUAUAAAGCGGUAACACGUAAGGAAAGACUGUAAACAAAGAGCACGUAGACCAUCAACAAUGAUAAAACAAUAACACAAAACAAACAAACAAAAAAUCUAUACACCUAUAGUGCCAAACUAAGCCGAUAUAACUCCAAAAUAAGCUCGAAUUCUGAAAAAAGUCCCCAACAGAGUCGCUAGAGCUGUCACAUUCUCUUUUUACCAAAAAAUAUUUUAUUUAAAGUUUGAAAGGGUUUUUAUUAUUAAGGUGACAAAAUAAAGAAGUUUGUUUCGAAGAGGAUUAAUUAGAUUCAAAACUCAGAGUCGCCACUUGGCAUAAUCCGGUGUACCAAGUCACCUUUGGAAAAUCCUUUUCAAAAUGAUUUGGCUCUUUAAGACUAAUUUGCAAACAGAGAUUUCGGCUAAGGAAUUCUGUUGACCGAGGGGAAGGUGUUAGGCACCCCUCGAUCCCGUGGUUCGACCAUGGUCGCUUGGUGGAGCAUAUCGGCUAAUUUGACAUUAUAAAUGUAUAAAUCACACAAAACACAUAAAACAACCAAUCAAACACACGAAACAAAACAAAUCCAAAAAUAUAAUAUGCAAUCCAAUUAUUACAACCUGAAAUUAAAAAAAAGGUACUAAAAGGUAAACCUACACUAAUCCUAAAAUAUGCUCCAAUGCUUUACCCGAUGCCUCGGGCCUUCAUCACGAACAUCCUCCGGGUACAAGAUACCUCGGGACAUUUUCCAAUGAAUAACUACAAAUGGCUUCGGGGUAUUCCCCGACUAAAUGAAUAUAAUUGAUUCAAAUGCGGUAAAUAAAACCAUUCAACAAAUAUCUCAAACAUUUCACCAAUUUCACAAUCCAUAAGUUUGCCUACCCCUAUAGUUUGUCUAACGAUCCACGGCCUAUACAUGAUGCUAUCGAACUUAACAAAGUCUGCGUUCAUUCCAAAUCAGGCAAUCAUCUCAAAACCAACAUAAAUCAAUAUUCACUUUUAAUAAUUUUUUUAUCUUUUUCUCUAAAAUCCAACUUAAUUCUUAAUAAGAUAUUAUUUUAUCACACAAAUCAUAAUCAAUUCAUAAUCAAGAAAAUCAAAUACCGAUUCAAAACGAACAAUAAUUCACAUCAUCAUAGAUCAACCAAUAUACCGUAUUCGAUUCAUAGCAUCGAACAUGAUAAACAACAAAAUAAAGAAGAGAAGGAAUAAAAUUGGACCUCGAUUGAAGCUUUUAUUGUGCCAAAUUGCGCGAUUAGAACACGGAGCCGGAUCCAAAAACCUCAGAUGAAACCUCAGACGAUCCAACUCCAAACUGAAAAUCAUGAGAUAGAGAGAAAUCCAGACAGAUUCCGGUGGAUUCCCGGGCGUUUAAGGCUAUUUUUGAGGCGUUGGUCAUCGAAACUACUAUUUUUGCGACCUCGAAGCUCCGGUGAGAUCGGAGAUGGUGGAGAUCAAAGAAAACAGAUCGGAUUUCGAGCUCUCUUAUUGACCCUGUUCUCUCUCUCCUCGUUGAUCCCUCGUUUUUCUCUCGAUUUCACUCUCUCAUCGUCUCUCUCUUCGUUACCUUCUGUUCUCUCUCUAUCUCUCACUGUGUGGCUGUGUGUAUGGGGCUUUUUUGUAUGGAGAAAAUGAGUAUAAAAUGGUUCUCUGGUCAGUGAGAGUAUUUGUGGCUUUUUUUGUGAAUCUCCUCCCAGUUCCUGUGUGUUCUUGGUGCGUAUAUACGCCCUUUCUUUGUGGAAAAGAAAUGUGAGGGAGUCACGUGAGGGGGUAGGAUGCCUAGGGGUGAGGUGGGGUAGGGGUGGGGUAGUGAGGUGGUUUAUUUUGAUUGGGUAUAUUUGUCACGCCCCAAAAUCCCAUCGGGCCGGACUGGCACCCGAAGCCGAGAAGGCCCGGGAGAACCCGUUCAAAUACCUGUACUUUCACUUACAUGUCACCAAAAAUUGGACAGCACUUCGUUGCAUAUAGAAGGAUCUAAUUACCUGUAUCAGCACAACACGCGCAAAUAUAUAUAUAUAUAAUACUUGGCCGUCGGGGCCACCACAUAUACAGAUAUAACAUCACUAUAUAAACUUCCAUGACUUUACCCUUCCUUAUGUCUACAAAGCCUCUAGGAUAUACAUGACAUAACUAGGGUCGGGACAAACCCCCGCCCACACAUGACUCAUGUACAAUAACAAAACAUAAGGAACCGACUCGGAAAGCUCCGAAGCAAACUGGAGCUCACCAACAAUAGCUGUAUGACCUGGCUCCUACUUGUGCGGUGUAUGAGCUGAGGUACCUGUGCCUGCAGCAUGAAAUGCAGGUCCCCCGUGAGGGACGUCAGUACGAAAUAUGUACUGAGUAUGUAAAGCUGUAAAUAAUCACAUAUGAUAUAGGAGCUCAAUAGAAAUCAGAAACAAGUGAAUAAGUCGUAAUAGGAGUGGACCACACUUACUAGAACUUGUGACAACCUGUACAUUGUAUUUAUUCAAUCACUUUACCUUCGUUCUUAUCGUCUUUGUAAUCAUUACUGUACUGUACUGUGACCAUUAGGAUGCCUCCAGUACAUAUCAACUGGGAUCGACCCAUGCUAGGCUUAUGCCCCUGGGAUACCACCCAUAAACACAUAAAUAGGGAUCGACCCAUGCUAGGCUUAUGCCCCUGGGAUACCACCCGAUAAGAGAGAACUUCCAUCACUUAGUUCAAUUAAUCUUUGAGAUUGUUAUUUCGGUCGCCACCACAUUUUUGAUACUUUGAAACAAUGAUACAUCAAUAGGAACCAAGUAAUAGACCUUCUAUACAAUAACGAUGUAAUAAAGACUCAUUGGUACAUCAACAAUGUGUUUCAGAAUCAUCAAUAUCACAACAAUGAAAUAAGAGCCUUUUGGUAUAUCAAUGAAACAUUUUGACACUUUAUAGAAUGGAAACAACUUCGUUGGUAACGUAGAACAAUACAUGUUUUUGGACAACCUCGGAAUCUUACUUGAUGGAACAUUGGUGUUUUCAUGCCAAAGAACAUUGUUAGAGUAUGCUUUACAUACCUCGUUGUAGAUUCGGAUACCAAUUCAACACAACUUCCCGCCUUUACAAAUCACUUAUCUACAAUGAAAUGUUUGGCAUCUAGUAUUAGCAACCCAACACCACAAUUCUCUUCCAUAAUUCCAUACUACCAAUAUUUGCAAAACAUUCCAAAAACCAACUUGAACAAUAGGUUUAUGUGUGUAUAUAUAUAUAAUCAUCAUUUCAAUACCACAUCAUCAAUACCACAUCAUCACCCCAAAUUCCUUCACAAUUUAACAUAAUCCAACCAUGCACAAGAAUAAUCCAACAUCAUUUCCAAUCAUCUUUCAACAACAAUCAAAUAACAUACUUCUUAUGCUCACAUGCAUAUAUAUAUAUACAUAUCCAUAUAAAUAACACCAACAUAAUUUACAUCCUUACCAAAAAAAUGGCCCUUUUGAUUUCGAAGUCCUGUUGGCACAAAUAAGGGGUGCUUCUCGAAGCCCUUGAGACGGUGAACACAACUACGGAAUCAAUUUGGAUUUUCUACGGUUGAAUCACAAGAUAAUUGGAGUUGAACUUAGGCUAGGGUUUCUUAUUCUUCAAUGAUUUGGAUGAUAAAUGGUGGAUAUAAGGCUAAGUAUAUGUAUAUAAUGACCAAUUUUCGUCCAUGAGGUGAUGGAAAAUGACCAUAUUGCCCUUAAAAAUUUAAGUAAAUCCGAAUCUGUCCAUGGUGGACUGUUUUGAUAGGCUAAAGUAAAUCGGCCAUAACUCUUUGCUCCGAUAUCGGAUUUGGGUGAAAUUGGUAUCGUUAGAAAGAUAAUUCAAAGGUCUUUCAUUUAAUAUAAAUUAAUCCACCCAGUUCGUCCUGUACAAGUAGUUAUGAUCGUUUGAAGUUGACCCUAAAAAUCUGUUUUGAGAGGCUGAAGUAAAACGAGUAUAACUCCUUACUCAGAUGUUGGAUUUGGAUGAAACCAAUUUCAUUGGAAAGAAGACUCAAAGAUCUUUCUUUUGAUAUAUGGUAGCUCAACCAGUUCAUUAUAUUGAGGGAGUUAUGAUCGUUCAAAGUUGACCCAAAAAACUGGCAGGCCUCAGUAGUUUCCUGCACAUUUUACUGUUCACAUCCCGGCCACCGUUUUAAAGUUUCGAACGAGCUCGCUUAUAUCCGAAACUUAUCCGUUUUUGGAAAUCUUUAUAUCGUUGGAAAGCUUAUUCAAUAACCUUCGUAUGGAACCAUCGACGGGAAAAUUCCGAUAUAAAUAAAGUCGAUUCCUAUACACCUAUAAUCAAACUAUACACUUGAAACCAUCUCAAAAUAAUCAAUAUUCCUAUACACAUAUAAUCAAACUAUACACUUGAAACCAUCUCAAAAUAAUCAAUACUCAUACUUAAACUCAUAUAUACCUAACUUAGGAUCAAUACAUAUACUCCAACACAUAUAACAAUGGCUAAUGCACGUAAUUAAGUACGGGGUGUUACAAUAUUGUUAGGAUAAGAUAAAAUUAGUUAGAUGUUAUUGUUUUGUUAUUUUGUGGAGGGAUUAUCACACGGGUGAGGGUACGUAGUAAAGUCUAAGCUAAAAAUGAAUAAAAUUGAAUUUGAGAGAGACAAAAUUAGGUGUCUACACUUAUUAGUAUUUUUAUUUGAUUCGAAGGAUAUCAUGUCAAAAGUUAUUUAAUUUCGCUAUUAGGAGUAUUUUUAGGGGGUGUUGGAGACUUGAUUAACAAGUAUUAAGUUUAGAGGACUGUCGAUGGAUUUGGCCUAAAAGAUAUACUACUGUAAUAGUUAUUUUUAACCUUUAAUAAUAAGCAAAUUACGAUUUUGAUUGUUAUAAUUUAUGAUUCGUAUAUUUAAUAUUAAAUUACUUAAGACAUACUAAGAAAAAAUUAAAAUAUGAGAAGUUGCAAAUUAUUUUUUUUUUUGGUAAAAAAGAAGAUAGCUGAAUUAGCUAACUAGCUACAUGUGCUUAUGGAAUACAUGCACCCAUUAACAUCAACCAGGAUUGAUAGCAAAAAACAGGUAAACAAGUUUAGAUGAACUGCCACUAUUACAUCUUAUGCUUCUGUCAAAAGUAGUUCCUAUCGUGUCUGCCUAAAGAGCAUGCCGAGCACACACUGGAGGAACUUCCAAAAGUGUAGUACUAUAAAAAACAUUUGAGUUGGCUCCCAUCUUAGCUAGCGCAUCCACCACCAUGUUUAGUUUUGGCUUAUAACUAGAUUCCCCAAUCUCCUUAACCUGUACCUGCAAUCAUCAACAAUUUCAGCAUAUAGAAUGUUAUUGUUAGUGAGCAUCUUUAUAAUUUUCGUAGAGUCCGUGUUGAUUUCAAUGGGUAUGAAAUUAAAUUGUUCGAUAAUUUUUAAUCCCUCCAGAAGAGCAAGUAAUUCCAUCUGGUUGUUAGUUGCAUUGAGAAAACUUUUGCUGUAACCAACCAUCCAGUCCCCAUUAUGGUUUCUAAUCACCCCUCCUAUUCCCCCUUUCCGGGAUUACCAAGACAAGAUCCGUCAAUGUUUAAUUUGAAGGUAUCUCGCUUCAGUGGCUCCCAUUUGAUGUUGAUAGAGGUAAUGGAAGUAUUAGUUUUUCCCUUAGUGUUAAGAUGGGCAUACUAAACAGUUUGGGAAUACUCUUGAUCAAAAGAAGCGUUUUUCGUAGUGUGAUGGAAGACGUUUUCAUUUCUCGUCUUCCAGAUUGUCCAAAGACAAUAAAGAAUAAUUUCUGCCCAAAGCACCAUCUUAUCAUAGCUUUUGUUUUUAUCAACCCCCAGGUGGUUCUCCAGUUUGCAGGCAUAAAGUCAAUAAGAUUUAGCUUGAGCCUGUUAGAAUGGUUGGCCCUAUGUAGUAGAUCUGUCCAUAUUUUCCUUGCACUUGUAUAGUGGUAGAAAAUAUGGUUGGAAUCUUUUGUUGGGCUGUUACAAAUUUGGCAUUUGAGAUCAAAUUUUAUCACCGUUCUUUGAAGAAACUUGUUAGUUGGAAGUCUGUUAUGGAGCAACUUCCAGAUGAAGAACUUAAGCUUAUUAGGAGUGUGAAUUUUCCACAGCAUGGACCAGUCCCAAUUCCCUUCUAUUUCAGUCUUGUCUUUCCUAUUCCUAGCAAAGAGAUGAUUGUACAUAGUACUACAGGAGAAAAGACCAUCCCCUUUCAGUUUCCACAGAGGGGUAUCUUUUUGGAUUCUGUGAUUUGGAAAGAAAACACUUUUUAUGUUGUGUUUGAUGUCUUGGGGUAUUUGCAUUAAGAGUGAGUCAAAAUUCCAAGAGUUAUUGUUCCACACCUCUGAGAGUUUGAUGUUCUCUUCAUUUCUAUUGAGAGGUCCCUGAAUGGUGGCUCUAAGAGAAGGGGUUUUAGGGGUCCACCUGUCCAUUCAAAAGCUAAUACUUUGACCAUUUUUGACACUCCAGAUGGUAGCUUUCUUAUAGUUAUGCCAAACUCUUAAGAUGUUCCUCUAGGUUCUUGUGCCAUAAGUAGAGCCAGGUAAACCGUUGGAGUUGUAUUUGGCAUUCAAGACACUGGUCCAAAGGUUGUUGAGGUCUUGACUAAAUCUCCGAGCCAGACUCAUAUGCAUAGAGGCCUUCUUGAGCCUGGAUUUUUGAAUACCAAGACAACCCUCCCUUUUGGGAAGAGUAACAGCAUCCUAGGAGAGAAGGUGCAUCCUCCUCUUGUCCUUGGUGGAUCCCCAGAUAAAUUCUCGAUUGUCUUGUCAAUGAGCUUUUGAAUCUUUUUGGGGAUGUCUAUGUAUUGCAUAAUGUUAUUAGGCAUGCUCCCAAGUGAAUCCUUUGCAAGAAUGGUUCUACCCGCCAUGUUGAGGAAUCUAGUUUUCCAUCCCCCCAAUUUGGUGUUGAGAUUGUCCAGGAUAAAGUUGAAAUUUUUAGCCUGAGGUUUGUGAUGGAAAAUGGGGAAUCCUAAGUAUUUUCCAAAUUCCUGUUUAGCCUGGAUUUGCAAUUUGAUGAAGGCUAAGGUAUCUCUCUCAACAAGGGAGUAGUUAUGGGAGAAAAUGACCUUUGACUUGGAAAUGUUAACUUUUUGACCAGAGUGAAGGCUAAAACUGUUGAGGGUAUUCAUGAUGGUCUGACAAUUUUUCCCAUCUGUCCUGGCAAAUAAGGUGAGAUCGUCAGCAAAAAACAAAUGAAAAAUUUUUGGACCCUUGGGACAUGUGGAAAUGGGGGUCCAGGAGGUUCAUUUCAUGAUCAAUCCUUCUAGAAAGGAGUUCCAUACACCUUAUGAAGAUGUAUGGUAAAAGAGGAUCUCCCUGUCUAAUGCCCCUGGUGGGGUUGAAGAAGUUAGUUUCCCCCCAUUGAUCAGAAUAGAAAUUUUGGAAGAGGAGAUGCAAGACAUGAUGAGCCUGAUUAGCCUGGUAGGAAUGUUAAAAAAAGUGGAGGGCUUAUCCGAUGAAGGACCAUUCUAAUCUAUCAAAAUUUUUCUCAAGGUAGAUCUUAAGAAUCAUGUUAACCUUCUUACCCUUCAUUUUGGAGAAGUGUGUGAUGUAUUCUUGGACAAUGAUUGCAUUGUCUGCGGCUCUCCUGUUAGCCAUGAAACUUGAUUGGCUGUUGCUAAUAAUGUUAGGAAGGUGAGGUUUCAACCUAUUGGUUAUGAGCUUAGUGAUGAUUUUGUAUUGGGUGUUACAGAGUCCAAUAGGUCUGAAGUUCUUGAGAUUGGUGGCAUUCCUACACUUUGGGAUGAGGCAAAGGUAGGUAGUGUUAACCUCUUCCUCCAUAGUACAACUAGUGAAGGUCUCUUGACAAAACUUGACCAAGGAGGGUCCUAAGAUAUCCCAAUAUUUUUGGUAGAAUAGGGGAUGGAUGCCGUCAGGCCCAAGGGCUUUCGUGAGUUUGAAGGAGGAAACAACUCUUUUGAUUUCAUUAGGGAUGGCCAUUAAUGCUUGGUGGUUGGAAGCACACCAAAAGUAACACCUUUGAAAGUUGAAAAAUAAUUAGAAAUAAGAGAAAUAGUAGUGUAAAAGGAAUGAUAACAUAUAUAAUUGACAAAAUAAAAGGA
rnacentral:lncRNA from 1 species